rnacentral:rRNA from 1 species
CCGGAGAGGGAGCCUGAGAAACGGCUACCUCAUAUAAGGAAGGCAGCAGGCGCGCAAAUUCCCCAAUCCUACAACAGGGAGGUAGCGACAAGAAAUAACACUACAGGACUUUUUGGUUUAGUAAUAGGAAUGAAUUAAGUAUAAACCCCUCUACAAGUAUCAAUUGGAGGGCUAGUGUGGCGCCAGCAGCCGCGGUAAUUCCAGCUCCAAUAGAGUAUAUUAAAGUUGCAGCAGUUAAAAAGCUAGUAGGAGGAUUUUUGUUAAUAAUUUGUAUAAAAUAUUUUGAAUAUUUAUAUAACAUUAACAUAAUUCAUAUUACUAUAUUUUUUAGUAUAUGAAAUUUUACUUUGAGAAAAUUAGAGUGCUUAAAGCAGGCAUAUGCCUUGAAUACUCCAGCAUGGAAUAAUAUUAAAGAUUUUUAUCUUUUUUAUUGGUUCUAAGAUAAGAAUAAUGAUAAU